AUUGAACGCUGGCGGCAGGCCUAACACAUGCAAGUCGAUCGAGCGGCGGACGGGUGAGUAAUGUAUGGGGACUGCCCGAUAGAGGGGGAUAACUACUGGAAACGGUGGCUAAUACCGCAUACUAUCGGAUAACCCAUAUGGGAGUAGCUAGUAGGUGGGGUAACGGCUAACCUAGGCGACGAGCUCUAGCUGGUCUGAGAGGAUGAUCAGCCACACUGGGACUGAGACACGGCCCAUACUCGUAGGGAGGCAGAAGUGGGGAAUAUUGCAGAAGGUGCGCAAGACUGAUGCAGCCAUGCCGCGUGUAUGAAGAAGGCCUGAGGGUUGUAAAGUACUUUCAGCGGGGAGGCGUUACCCGCAGAAGAAGCACCGGCUAACUCCGUGCCAGCCGCCGCGGUAAUUC
rnacentral:rRNA from 1 species